UAGAAUUCUGAAGGGUUUUAAAAUUCUAUAAUGCUUAAACUAUUUAAUUAUUUCUAUAAUACCAUGCAAUUUAUUAUACACUAUAAAGAGAUCAACUCAUUUACAAUUAUUUGGAUGAAAUAGGAAAAAAUAUGGUUAAAACUUCGAAGUUUGUUUAUGUUCUAAUUCUAUUUCUUUCCAUAUUUUUUAGCAUCAUAGUUUCUAAUUCUUCUCCCGGUAGGUUAUCUUUUGGUGAUUGUAAAAUAGAUAAAGAUUGUCCAAAACUUCGAGGAGGUAGUUUUAGGUGUCGUAAAGGAAAAUGUGUACUCGAAUGAGAUAAAUGAGUUCUUUCUAUAGCAAGAGACUUGUACAAUACAUUAUGCUAGAAUAUUCCACUUGUUGUCAUUUACAUUUGUUUGCAUGCUCUCAAUAAUUAUUUUUUCUUCUUAUGUUUUUCCAUAAUUUCCUAGACCAUGAAGUUAUGAUUUUGUACUCUAAGAUGAUGGAAAUGAAAUAAUCCCAACUUCAUUUCACAACAACGGUUUCAUGUAAUGUUGUCUUUAUUUAAUCUGAUUAUUUGUGCUUUAGCCAUGAGUAGCUAAAUUUUUCGUGAUUAGGUCUAAUAUGAUUUUGUUAUAACUGUUUGAACAAUCUAAACUGUGAAACUAUAUUAAAUACAAUUGCAAUUUUAGUAUUUAUACAAUAUAACAUAUGUUUAAUGUUUUUUUGUAUCUUGAUCUAAUUUAAAUGAACUUAAAGAUCAAUUGACUAUUAGCACUAACUAUUGAUUUAGAUCUAGUAACACUCUUCAAUUAAAUAAGUUGCUUUAGAGAUAUCAACCGAAUAGGUUUUGAUUAAAGAUUAAUAUUCAAUAAAACCUUCGAUGUUAUGGACUCACCUAAGAGAUUAGUGAGUCGUAAACUAAGAAGAGGGCUCUAGUCAAAAGAUUGAUUAGGGCUUUUUUUUUAAAAAUAUUUAAAAAAAUAGAAGAACAAUUAUUGGGUUUAGGUGCAGUUUACCAAACAUUGACGGAAAUAGGAUUCAAAAGACAUGAUUAAUUUUUUCUUCUAAAAUUCAUGACAAAUCUAUUUACAUUUUGCUAUUUGUGUUAUGAUUGUGAAACAAAAUAUUUGCAUUGUGCAACCCGCAAUUUUAAAACAUCUGUGUUGAUAAUGUCUCUACCUAGUAGAAACCAAUGCAUUCUACGUGUAGAUUUCACAACAACGGUUUUGGAGAUUUUAAAGACACAUUUGGAGCUAAGCAUUGCGGAAUUUGUGGUCGCAUGCCAUCCAAGUCAUAGUUAGACCAUAUUUCAUGUAAUGUUGUCUUUAUUUAAUCUGAUUAUUUGUGCUUUAGCCAUGAGUAGCUAAAUUUUUCGUGAUUAGGUCUAAUAUGAUUUUGUUAUAACUGUUUGAACAAUCUAAACUGUGAAACUAUAUUAAAUACAAUUGCAAUUUUAGUAUUUAUACAAUAUAACAUAUGUUUAAUGUUUUUUUGUAUCUUGAUCUAAUUUAAAUGAACUUAAAGAUCAAUUGACUAUUAGCACUAACUAUUGAUUUAGAUCUAGUAACACUCUUCAAUUAAAUAAGUUGCUUUAGAGAUAUCAACCGAAUAGGUUUUGAUUAAAGAUUAAUAUUCAAUAAAACCUUCGAUGUUAUGGACUCACCUAAGAGAUUAGUGAGUCGUAAACUAAGAAGAGGGCUCUAGUCAAGAGAUUGAUUAGGGCUUUUUUUUUAAAAAUAUUUAAAAAAAUAGAAGAACAAUUAUUGGGUUUAGGUGCAGUUUACCAAACAUUGACGGAAAUAGGAUUCAAAAG
rnacentral:lncRNA from 1 species